rnacentral:rRNA from 1 species
UAGGGAAUCUUCCGCAAUGGACGCAAGUCUGACGGAGCAACGCCGCGUGAGUGAAGAAGGUUUUCGGAUCGUAAAACUCUGUUGUUAGAGAAGAACAAGUGCUAGAGUAACUGUUAGCGCCUUGACGGUAUCUAACCAGAAAGCCACGGCUAACUACGUGCCAGCAGCCGCGGUAAUACGUAGGUGGCAAGCGUUGUCCGGAUUUAUUGGGCGUAAAGCGAGUGCAGGCGGUUCCUUAAGUCUGAUGUGAAAGCCCCCGGCUCAACCGGGGAGGGUCAUUGGAAACUGGGGAACUUGAGUGCAGAAGAGGAGAGUGGAAUUCCAUGUGUAGCGGUGAAAUGCGUAGAUAUAUGGAGGAACACCAGUGGCGAAGGCGACUCUCUGGUCUGUAACUGACGCUGAGGCUCGAAAGCGUGGGUAGCAAACAGGAUUAGAUACCCUGGUAGUCCACGCCGUAAACGAUGAGUGCUAAGUGUUGGAGGGUUUCCGCCCUUCAGUGCUGCAGUUAACGCAUUAAGCACUCCGCCUGGGGGGUACGACCGCAAGGUUG